UUUCCGUAGGUGAACCUGCGGAAGGAUCAUUAUCGUACAAAAUGUGAGGGGCAUGCGAGGGCUGUCGCUGACCCGAAAGGUCGUGCACGCCCGAGUGCCCUCACACACAUCCAUCUCACCCCUAUGUGCACCACCGCGUGGGUCCCCCUUUGGCUUGUUCGGAGGGGGGCUUACGUUUUCACACAAACUUUGUAUGCAGUGUAGAAUGUAUUUUUUGUUUUUGCGAUCACGCAAUCAAUACAACUUUCAACAACGGAUCUCUUGGCUCUCGCAUCGAUGAAGAAUGCAGC
rnacentral:misc_RNA from 1 species